rnacentral:rRNA from 1 species
AGUGAACGCUGGCGGCGGGCCUAACACAUGCAAGUCGAACGACAACACAAUAAGAUUGUGCUCUUACCGGUAGCGGCUGGCGGACGAGUGACGCAUACAUCACCAUCUUCUUUUUCGUGGAGGAUAACGUAAGGCAGCUUACUAUAAUACCGAAUAUAAUGUACCGCUGAGUGCAAUAGAUCUUCUCAGCUUUCCCGUCUGUAUUAGCCGAUUCCGAAUUAGCUAGUUGGCUGGGUAAGGGCCCACCAAGGCGACGAUACGUAGCUUGACUGAGAGGAUGAUCGGCCACACUGGAACUGAGACACGGUCCAGACUCCUACGGGAGGCAGCAGUGGGGAAUCUUGGGCAAUGGGCGAAAGCCUGACACAGCAAUACCGCGUGGGUGAAGAAGGCCUUCGGGUCGUAAAGCCCUUUUGUUGGGAAAGAAAAGCAGUAGGAGUAUACCUGGCUGUUUUGACGGUACCCAAUAAAUAAGCACCGGCUAACUACGUG